rnacentral:snRNA from 1 species
GGAUGUAAGGGCAGUCUGACAGGACAUCUGUCAACCCAUUGAUUGCCAUAGUUGAUGUGAGUGGCUGGCUAGGAUUCUAGCCCCCUUCCUCCCUCACUACUCCAUGUGCAUCCCUUCCACUGAGUGCUCUAUGGAAGAGGACAACCUUCCGUGGUGGAGGAAGAUGUUUAUUGGUCAAGAAUAUACGAGUAGCUGUGGUCCCCUGCUAAAACCUCCAAACAAGCACUCAAGGUUUAUAUAGUCUCUUUGGACUGAAUGAAAAAGGUCGGCAGAUAAUAAAACAUCAAAUUAUGAGUUAAGUU